AGAGUUUGAUCCUGGCUCAGGACGAACGCUGGCGGCGUGCUUAACACAUGCAAGUCGAACGGAAAGGCCCUUCGGGGUACUCGAGUGGCGAACGGGUGAGUAACACGUGGGUGAUCUGCCCUGCACUUUGGGAUAAGCCUGGGAAACUGGGUCUAAUACCGAAUAGGACCACGCGCUUCAUGGUGUGUGGUGGAAAGCUUUUGCGGUGUGGGAUGGGCCCGCGGCCUAUCAGCUUGUUGGUGGGGUAAUGGCCUACCAAGGCGACGACGGGUAGCCGGCCUGAGAGGGUGACCGGCCACACUGGGACUGAGAUACGGCCCAGACUCCUACGGGAGGCAGCAGUGGGGAAUAUUGCACAAUGGGCGCAAGCCUGAUGCAGCGACGCCGCGUGAGGGAUGACGGCCUUCGGGUUGUAAACCUCUUUCAAUAGGGACGAAGCGUGAGUGACGGUACCUAUAGAAGAAGCACCGGCCAACUACGUGCCAGCAGCCGCGGUAAUACGUAGGGUGCGAGCGUUGUCCGGAAUUACUGGGCGUAAAGAGCUCGUAGGUGGUUUGUCGCGUUGUUCGUGAAAACUCACAGCUUAACUGUGGGCGUGCGGGCGAUGCGGGCAGACUAGAGUACUGCAGGGGAGACUGGAAUUCCUGGUGUAGCGGUGGAAUGCGCAGAUAUCAGGAGGAACACCGGUGGCGAAGGCGGGUCUCUGGGCAGUAACUGACGCUGAGGAGCGAAAGCGUGGGGAGCGAACAGGAUUAGAUACCCUGGUAGUCCACGCCGUAAACGGUGGGUACUAGGUGUGGGUUCCUUCCUUGGGAUCCGUGCCGUAGCUAACGCAUUAAGUACCCCGCCUGGGGAGUACGGCCGCAAGGCUAAAACUCAAAGGAAUUGACGGGGGCCCGCACAAGCGGCGGAGCAUGUGGAUUAAUUCGAUGCAACGCGAAGAACCUUACCUGGGUUUGACAUGCACAGGACGCCGGCAGAGAUGUCGGUUCCCUUGUGGCCUGUGUGCAGGUGGUGCAUGGCUGUCGUCAGCUCGUGUCGUGAGAUGUUGGGUUAAGUCCCGCAACGAGCGCAACCCUUGUCCUAUGUUGCCAGCGGGUUAUGCCGGGGACUCGUAGGAGACUGCCGGGGUCAACUCGGAGGAAGGUGGGGAUGACGUCAAGUCAUCAUGCCCCUUAUGUCCAGGGCUUCACACAUGCUACAAUGGCCGGUACAAAGGGCUGCGAUGCCGUGAGGUGGAGCGAAUCCUUUCAAAGCCGGUCUCAGUUCGGAUCGGGGUCUGCAACUCGACCCCGUGAAGUCGGAGUCGCUAGUAAUCGCAGAUCAGCAACGCUGCGGUGAAUACGUUCCCGGGCCUUGUACUCACCGCCCGUCA
rnacentral:rRNA from 1 species